ACAUCCGGGUCAUCCGCCAGUAUCUGUCUCUUGCGUCUGUGUGUCUGACAGAGUAAUAAUUAUUUCAUCCGCCGCCGCCGAGCUGUACUGCAGCUCUCUGCCCGACUACGCGGCUCAUCGAGCGGACACUGCGCGUGGCGUGCACCGCUGAUGUUGGAGCCACGGGCGCUGUGAAACUGCAGCCGGUCGCACAAAGGCAGGGAUGAGACGGUAAGGAGGCUUUUCUAUGGGCCAGCCAGCGGUGAUUAACUCGCCCUAACGAUGUCUAAGAGCCUCAAGAAGAAAAACCACUGGACCAACAAAGUCCACGAAGCGGUGAUAACCCGUGGAAAGGACGGGGAGCUGGGGUUCGAGCUGAAGGGGGGCGCGGAGAUCGGCCAGUUCCCCUACUUCGGCGAGGUGAAGCAGGGGAAGGGACUUAUCCAGAGCGGCAAACUGGCCCAGGAUGAGCUUCUGCUGGAGGUCAACAACAUGCCUGUGGCCGGGCUCACCAUCCGUGACGUGCUGGCCGUGAUUAAACACUGCAAAGACCCGGUCCGCCUCAAAUGUGUCAAACAAGGGGGGGUGGUUGACAAGGAUUUGCGGCACUACCUCAACCUGCGCUUCUCCAAGGGCUCAGUGGACCACGACCACCAGCAGAUCAUCAGAGACAACCUCUACCUCCGCACCGUUCCCUGUACCACCAGGCAGCCUAAGGAGGGGGAGGUGCCGGGGGUGGACUACAACUUUGUGAGUGUGGAGCGUUUUAUGGAACUGGAGCAAAGCGGAGCCCUGCUAGAGAGUGGAACCUAUGAAGACAACUUCUACGGCACACCAAAACCUCCAGCGGAGCCAUCCCCCGCAGCACCUCCUCUGAAUGUAAGUGAGGCCCUGCUGCCUGGAGCCCGGCCCAGCGCCCAGGGCAAGAGGAAGAGGAACCAGUCAGUCAGCAACAUGGAGCAGCGCGCCAGCCUGGAGCCUCCUGAGGAGGAGGAAGAGGAGAGCCCAGUUGUCAAUGGCAACGGAGUGGCUAUCACACCAGAGUCCAGUGAACAUGAGGACAAGAGCACAGAUGCCUCUGGGGAGGUUGCUGUUGACGCCUCCCUUCUACCCCCACCAUCCAUUGAGCCCCCAACAGAAGGGGAAGAGGCCCAGAAAUCCCCUUCAGAAUCCCCUGCUAAAGUCCCAGACGCAAAUGAAGAGGAGCUGGGUCCUCUCCCUGACAACUGGGAGAUGGCCUACACCGAGAAGGGGGAGGUCUACUUCAUAGAUCACAACACCAAAACUACAUCAUGGCUGGAUCCCCGGCUCGCAAAAAAAGCAAAGCCGCCAGAAGAAUGCAGCGAAGACGAGCUGCCCUAUGGCUGGGAGAAGAUAGAUGACCCCAUCUACGGCAGCUACUAUGUCGAUCACAUCAACCGGAGAACUCAGUUUGAGAACCCAGUUCUAGAGGCCAAGAGACGUCUGGAGCAGCAGAGGCAGAUGCAGAGCCAGGGACUCUCAGCUCUACCCCUACCCACUAUAUACAGAGAGAAGCCAUUGUUUACAAGGGACCCCACCCAGUUGAAGGGCACCUUCCUGUCAACAGCCCUGCAGAAGAGCAACAUGGGAUUUGGCUUCACGAUCAUAGGUGGUGAUGAGCCAGAUGAGUUCCUGCAAGUGAAAAGUGUAAUACCAGAGGGACCAGCGGCUCAGGAUGGAAAGAUGGACACAGGCGAUGUCAUCGUCUACAUUAACGACAUCUGUGUGCUCGGGACCACACACGCCGAUGUCGUCAAGCUUUUCCAGUCCGUACCGAUUGGUCAGAGUGUCACCCUUGUGCUCUGCCGAGGCUAUCCUCUGCCCUUUGACCCCGAGGACCCAAGUGGUGCAGCAAGUAGCUCCAUGACACCCAUUGGUCUAGAGCAUCGCCCCCUGGUGGUGAACGGCCGCACCAGUUAUGACCCUUACCUGGAGUACCUGUCGUUAAGCUCCCAGCUGCCCUCUCAGGCUUUGGCCUCACACCCUGGAGACACACACCUAGACGGCUCUUCCCUGCCGCCCACCACACCUGGUUCAGCAUCAGCAAUUACACCUCACGAUGACGUGUCCAUGGCACCCUCAGGGGUUGCCGGGGCAACAGCACAAGCAGCAGAGCUUCUUACAGUUACUAUGGUAAAAGGGUCGGAAGGAUUUGGGUUCACCAUUGCAGACAGUCCCACUGGUCAGCGAGUGAAACAGGUGCUGGAUCCAGGCUCACAGGGAUCAUCAGGGCUGAUUGAAGGAGACCUCAUCCUGGAGGUGAACCAGCAGCCAGUGGCUGCAGCAGGACAUGGGCGAGUAGUAGAGAUGCUCAAAGAGUGUCCUGUGGGAGCUGAGGCCACACUCCUCAUACAGAGAGGAGGAACUGGUCACAUCUCUCCAUGGAAGGCCUCGAAACAGUUGCCUGACCAGUGGGAUCCACAUGGCAGCCCCCAAGCAACCUUGUCUGGCUCAGUUUUGUCGCCUGGUACACCCUUCCCAAACCAGCCCCAGCACCGCACAUCUGUGCCUGACUCCACUGAAGGCUUCGAUCUCAAUAAACCCGACCCUUACGAUCUGUAUGAAAAGUCAAGGGCCAUCUACGAGAGCCGACGUCCAGAGUAUGAAGAGGUGGAGGUGCAUCUGCUGAGGGAGAAGACCGGGUUUGGCUUCCGCAUCCUGGGGGGAGACGAGGCCGUGCAGGCUGUGAGUCCGGACGCCCGUGACAAGAUUGUUAUUGGAGCCAUAAUAGAGAACACUCCUGCUGAGCGCGAUGGGCGGCUUCGACCAGGGGACGAGCUCAUUUCUGUGGAUAAAAAUGUGGUUGCUGGGAAACCACACAAAUACGUAAUAGACUUGAUGCACGCCGCUGCUCGCAACGGUCAAGUCAGCUUGACUGUGAGACGGAGAGUGCAAAUGCCCGGUGAUCUGUGUCCUGUGAACGGUCGCAGCCCUGGUUCGGUGUCGACACAGCACAGCUCACCACGUAGCGACGCAGCCUCGGCUGCAGGCCCUGCUGCUCUCGCCAUCCCUUCUGCCACUUCUCCUCCCGAGGGAACCGCCCUGCAAACCAGUGAUGUGGUUAUUCACCGCAAGGAGAACGAGGGCUUUGGCUUCGUCAUCAUCAGCUCCCUGAACAGACCAGAAAACGCCACCGUCAUCACUGUGCCUCAUAAAAUAGGACGAAUCAUCGAGGGCAGCCCUGCAGACCGCUGUGGGAAGCUGAAGGUGGGCGACAGGAUCCUGGCUGUGAACGGACAGUCCAUCAUCAGUAUGCCGCAUGCAGACAUUGUCAAGCUCAUUAAAGAUGCUGGGCUUACAGUCACACUGCACAUCAUACCAGAGGAGGGUUCUCAAUCCGGCCCAAGCUCAGAGAAGCAGAGCCCAAUGACCCAGAAACACAGCCCCCAGACCCAGCCAAGCCCUGUAGCCCAGCCUGGCCAAGGAGGCAUCCAGCCUGGCCAAACGGUCGCUCAGGCAGGUCAAGCAUCCAUUCAGGCCGGCCAAAUACCAGCCCAGACAAGCCAAACAGCGACCGGCCUUCCUGCACCAGCAGCCUCCCAGUCUGCAUCAGCUGGAACCCAGCAGAGCCCGGUCACCCAGCACUCUGGCCUCCCUCCUCAGCUCUACCUCCAUGAUGGCAGGUCAGAGGUCAAAGCCAGACAGGACGUCAAACCUGACUACCGCCAUCCUCCAUUCACUGAUUACAGGCAACCUCCAGUAGACUACCGUCACCCACCGGUCUCAGAUUACAGACAGCCCCCGACGCUGGACUACAGACACCCACCUGGCCUGCUGGACUUCAGGCAGCACACUGCAGCUGCACAGUUCCCUCUGGGGAUCCCUGCAGACUUCAGACUACAGGACUAUGAUUAUUUCACGGUGGAGCUGGAGAAAAGUGCGAAGGGUUUUGGCUUCAGUAUCCGCGGUGGUAGAGAGUACAAGAUGGACCUGUUUGUGUUGAGGCUUGCCGAGGAUGGUCCCGCCAUCCGUAACGGAAGAAUGAGGGUAGGGGAUCAAAUCAUAGAGAUUAAUGGAGACAGCACUCGGGACAUGACUCACGCCCGGGCCAUUGAACUCAUCAAAGCAGGAGGCCGGCGGGUCAGGCUGCUGCUGAAGCGAGGCACAGGACAGGUGCCCGAAUAUGGUGGGUUUGCAAUACAGUCUCUAAAUGUCUCACCCUUUCCACUCUGUCUUUUUUUAGUUUCUGACCUGAACACUUUAUGUCUGUAACACUAGAGAUCCACAAAUGUAUGAUCAGCUUCAUUGUUUUCAACCAGAAUAACUUGCUUUUUACUGCAAGUACUUCAAUAUUUAACUUAGGAACAUAUUAACAUGCAUUAAUAUCUUCUGCUUUUUUACUCCUUGAACUUCAGUCUUGUAUCUGUCAUCUAGUUUAAUCUUGUCUUUCUGUGAAGUACAGCUUUGGUCUAACAAAAAGAGUAACAGCUUUGUCUAACUUCUGUGUGUGUGUGUGUUUUAACCUUUCUGCUUUAAUUCUAAUGAUUGGUAUAGGCUUUUUACUUGCCUUCCCUCAGGAAUGGUUCCUUCCAACCUCUCCAUGUGCAUGAAAGGUGACACACUAAGCUCCCCCUAUUUCUUCCUAAUGGGCCACUCAAAAGACACGGCUGUAACGGCCCCUGGGAUUCCCUUUCUACAGCCCACUCUGCCCUGCAGGAAGUGACCCUAGAACCCCACCCGAUUUCAUCGCUCUCAUCCCAUCCAGCCUCAGCCCCAGACUCCCCUCAUCAGCUCCCUCUAGAGGCCACAGUGUGCAUGGCAGACCAAGCUCCACAGCAGACAGACCCCGACUCCAUCAGAGGGGCUACAGGUGGCAGGUCCACCCAGCAGAAGAGCAUCAUUAGGGGGCAGGGAGCCCCUCAAGGGUCUGGAGAGGUGGACUGUGGACCAGGAGAUAGACAGGCUCGGGCUUUGCCUCCCAAAGCCAUCCUGGGGAGGUCUGUGGAAAGAAGAGAGAGGCAGAGGGACACUUGCUCCCCCUGCUGUGAGAGGAAGGGUCUGCACAGUCAGACCAUGACCACAGUCUGGCCCUGGGACCAGUAUGUGAGUGUUAAUGGAGCCCCUCCGGGCAGUGGAGACGGACAGGUCGGCCUCCAGGAGAGGCUGGUGUCCAGAGGUCUGUACCCCAGAGAGGAAGAGAGAUCCAUUGUCCACAGUGGGCUCUGCUGCCCCCCCAAAACCGUGGAAGAUCCUCAUGCAAGGAGUGCUGCAGCCUCCCCUGGACCCUGGAAUGUCCCUGGGUCCGACAAACUGCCCGGCACCCUGAGGUCCUGGACCUCCACAGUGAGCAGGUAGAAUGGAUCUUGCUGGUCUGGACCGGAAUACACUGUCAGGCUCCUAAAAUCUCCUCCACCCUUUCAUUCUCUCCACUUUUCUCCCCGUCUCCUUCAAAGAUCAUAUUUUAUGUUUCAUUUGUGCUGAUGAGAUAAUUAUUACACCCACCACCUUAAAAAACAGAGGAACUUUCACAGCUAUUGUAUCAUAAACUCAAUGUUGGCAUGUUGGACCCUCAUGUGACGGUGUCGUGAUCACAGAUGGAGCAGUGAUGUCUGUGACUGAGUAGAGCUGUGCUUUCAUCAUGUACCUUUAACUGCUCAACCGUGACUGGCUCAGAUUGGUUAGCGCAGCAUAACCUCAGAUGGAACAAGGUUUCUCGCAGGAGAGAGACAUAUGUUCAUCCAAGAGAUUUACUUUUGCUCCAUUUUCUCCGUGCAGCAGAAAGAGUGAGACAAUAAAUCUGUCUGAGGGGAGGCAGAGUCUGAAACUCCUGGAGGACAUGGCACUGACCCAAGUGACAGCCUGGUUAACCCAACAUACGUUAGCGCUCACAUGCUUACCUAUAUGUCAUAUACUGUAAAUGUAAAGAUGUGACAAAUAUGUACAUUUGGUUAUCUCAAAAACAGACCUGUUUGUGUUUUUGAGGCCGUGUUGUAGUUAGAAACAUUGUAAAGAGAAGAGUAAACACAGGACAGUAUUUUAGGAUGACUAUUUCAAUGGCCUCGUCUAUAACUACAUAUCAGAGACUGUGCAAGUCACCAAACCCAGGCCACUACCGGAGGUAGUGGUUGAGUGCAUGGAUAUAAACCACCAUGUUAUUACACAGGGACUCACGUCUUUCAGAGGUAGAACAUAGAGAGGACUUCCUCUGUGGAGCUUGGUACUCGUGUGAGACAAAGAAAAUCUUUUUUUUCAUCAAAUUGAACUUUUAAGUGACUGAAAACAGUCGGCUUAGUAAGAACUCAUUGUACUUCUCUGAGUUAUGUACACCACUCGAUCACAACCAUGCAGACAUUGUGCAGAAUUAUAAGAUGUGUUGUAUUCAUUUACUGCUUAACUGAAGACUUUUGUCUGGUCUAUAUUCCCCAUUUCUAUGCCUUUUACUGUGCUACGUGUACCACAUCACUGUGGGAGAGGGGCAUCGGUGUGAGGGUGAGGAGGCCGAUGGUUAUGAGGUGGGGCGGAGUGCCUUACUCAAACUAAUGCAGAGCUGUUUGAUUUGUUUUGGGAACUGAAUGCAACGUAGAUGUUAGAGACCAUGCACACAUAUCAGCAACUGUUUUUUUCCUGACUUAACACCAAGCAGUAUUUACAGUUAUCUCGAUGCACUCUCAGCUUAUCAAUGUCAAUGAUUGCCCUUCGUCCCCUUGUGUUGAAGGGGAUCAGAUGUAGCCUGUAGCAUUACAUCCUCCUUUGGGAGUGUGGAGCAGUGAACCCUUAUUUCAGAAGAGUCUCAUUUCAGCUUUAUUUGUCUGUUGUGUAAAGAAAAGUUCAGUUUAAGUUGUUGAAGGCAGUACCAUUGCUCAUUCAAUCUAAACCCUGGAGUUUAGAUGAUCUGUGAAACACAAAUGCAGUAAAAUGUUUGUUUGAUCACAAAUUUUGAUACUUGGCAGAGUCAGAGUGCGCUGUUAGUGAACUGAGAGACACAUCCGUUAUGAAGAAUUCACAAUUAUCCUGCAUUGCUACAUUUUGAUAUCACCCAUCUCUCUAAACAAGAUGCUCUUAAUAAAAUAAAUCACCAGUGCUUUUGAGUUCAGGAGGACCAGAUGAGUGAUUGAAAAUACAGCGUCACUGGAUACAGCUCGAGCUGAAGUUGUGAAGGCCUGCUUGUAAAAAAAAAAAAGCCUCUAGACUAGGACUGUACUCAAACCUUUAAGACUAAUUUUGAAGGUUUUCAGUAAAAGGUGCUCUGGAUGUUUCUCAGCUGUGGCUCAUGUUAUCAAUCAUGUUAGUGAGGAGCAGCAGAACAUGACAGUAGGCUGUAGAAACGUGUAACCUGUUUGUACAAAUGUCAAAGUUCAGAGAAAGUGAAAGAGUUUGUUAUCCAGCUCCCUGUCUCCGUCCAGGCUGUCCCCCUGCCUGCUGUGAGUGAUUUUGUAUACAAGAACAAAAAAACGGCUUUAUUUGAACCUGUGAAGGAUGGCACGUUCAUGAAUCCCCAUUGAGAUCAAGUAUAACUGUGUAGUGUUAAUUGUGUACUAUUCACCUUGUACAGCUGUAUUCCUACAAAUAUGGUUUACUGUAUCAUUGAUACUGUAGUUUCAAAGACGUGAACAACUAUUUUUAUGAAAUGCGACAGUACUGAUAUAUAACAUUUUGCUAAAAAAUAAAAAACUUGUUUACUGAAAGAUAUUCUGAAAUACUGUCAAAUAAACUCUUGACAUGGUGUAAAAUA